rnacentral:rRNA from 1 species
GAUGAGCGCUGGCGGCGUGCCUAAUACAUGCAAGUCGAGCGAACAGAUGAGGAGCUUGCUCCUCUGACGUUGGCGGCGGACGGGUGAGUAACACGUGGAUAACCUACCUAUAAGACUGGGAUAACUUCGGGAAACCGGAGCUAAUACCGGAUAAUAUAUUGAACCGCAUGGUUCAAUAGUGAAAGACGGUUUUGCUGUCACUUAUAGAUGGAUCCGCGCCGCAUUAGCUAGUUGGUAAGGUAACGGCUUACCAAGGCAACGAUGCGUAGCCGACCUGAGAGGGUGAUCGGCCACACUGGAACUGAGACACGGUCCAGACUCCUACGGGAGGCAGCAGUAGGGAAUCUUCCGCAAUGGGCGAAAGCCUGACGGAGCAACGCCGCGUGAGUGAUGAAGGUCUUCGGAUCGUAAAACUCUGUUAUUAGGGAAGAACAAAUGUGUAAGUAACUAUGCACGUCUUGACGGUACCUAAUCAGAAAGCCACGGCUAACUACGUG